GGAAAGGAAAGGAAAGGAAGAAAAAAAAGGGGAGAAGAAGAAGGAGAAGAGGAAGGAGAUAAAGAAAGAUCACCAUUACACUUCAUAUUCCCCAAACAUCAAGAGAACAAUAAACUGAGACAAUGCAUGAAUAUGCACACACUUUGGAUUGUCCGGCGAACCAACAUAGACGACUAGUUAGCUAUUAAUCGACAUGCAAUUUGUGGACAAAAGGAGUAUGCUUUCUUCCGUAAAGACUUACCAUAUUUUGGAGUUCUUCGAUUUCAAGAUUAAUGAAAAACAAUCAACUGCAUCAAAAUGA